ensembl:snRNA U6 U6 spliceosomal RNA
GUGCUCACUUUAGCAGCACAUAUACUAAAAUUGGCAUGAUAGAAGAUUAGCAUGGCCCCUGUGCAAGGAUGAUGAGCAAAUUCAUGAGGCAUUCCAUAUUUUU